AACGAACGCUGGCGGCAGGCUUAACACAUGCAAGUCGAACGCCCCGCAAGGGGAGUGGCCGACGGGUGAGUAACGCGUGGGAACGUGCCCUUCGCUUCGGAAUAGCCCCGGGAAACUGGGAGUAAUACCGAAUACGGCGUAUUGGGAAAGAUUUAUCGGCGAAGGAUCGGGCCGCGUUGGAUUAGCUAGUUGGCGGUGUAAUGGACCACCAAGGCUACGAUCUCUAGCUGGUCUGAGAGGAUGAUCAGCCACACUGGGACUGAGACACGGCCCAGACUCCUACGGGAGGCAGCAGUGUGUGAUCUUGGACGAUGGGCGCAAGCCUGAUCCAGCCAUGCCGGGUGAGUGAAGAUGGCCGGAAGGUUGUAAAACUCUUUCACCGGGGAAGAUAAUGACGGUAUCCGGAGAAGAAGCCCCGGCUAACUACGUGCCAGCAGCCGCGGUAAUAC
rnacentral:rRNA from 1 species